AAGAUUUUAAGUUAAAUUAAACUAUUGGCCUUCAAAGCCAAAACUAGAUAGUUAUCUAAAUCUUG
rnacentral:tRNA from 1 species